rnacentral:rRNA from 1 species
AUACGUAGGUGACAAGCGUUAUCCGGAUUUACUGGGCGUAUAGGGCGUGUAGGCGGUCUUGCAAGUCAGAAGUGAAAUUCCUGAGCUCAACUCGGGCGCUGCUUCUGAAACUGCAGGACUUGAGUGCUGGAGGGGAUAGCGGAAUUCCUAGUGGAGCGGUAAAAUGCGCAGAUAUUAGGAAGAACACCGGUGGCGAAGGCGGCUAUCUGGACAGUAACGGACGCUGAGGGGCGAAAGCGUGGGGAGCAAACAGGAUUAGAUACCCGGGUAGUCCACGCCGUAAACGAUGAAUACUAGGUGUAGGGGGUAUCGACUCCCUCUGUGCCUCAGUUAACACAAUAAGUAUUCCGCCUGGGGAGUACGGCCGCAAGGUUGAAACUCAAAGGAAUUGACGGGG